GGGGAGUAGAUGAAAUUCUUCAAUCUAAAUUUGUAUUUUAUUUUUUGAUCUUAUUGUGUAUUUUUUUUAUUAUGCAAUCAACUAUUUGAAUAUUGUAAGAUUUUUUUUAAAUAAUAUUAAAUAUAUAGCAAAAUAUGAAUAGUUUUUGUGAUUUUAUUCAUGUGUUCAAGUAGUAGUUUUCAUUAUUUUAUGAGAGAUUUUUGAAUA
rnacentral:lncRNA from 1 species